rnacentral:misc_RNA from 1 species
GAUGAAGAACGCAGCGAAAUGCGAUAAGUAAUGUGAAUUGCAGAAUUCAGUGAAUCAUCGAAUCUUUGAACGCACAUUGCGCCCGCCAGUAUUCUGGCGGGCAUGCCUGUUCGAGCGUCAUUACAACCCUCAGGCCCCCGGGCCUGGCGUUGGGGAUCGGCGGAAGCCCCCUGCGGGCACAACGCCGUCCCCCAAAUACAGUGGCGGUCCCGCCGCAGCUUCCAUUGCGUAGUAGCUAACACCUCGCGACUGGAGAGCGGCGCGGCCACGCCGUAAAACACCCAACUCUUCUGAAGUUGACCUCGAAUCAGGUAGGAAUACCCGCUGAACUUAAGCAUAUCAAUAAGCGGAGGA